ACCCGCUGAACUUAAGCAUAUCAAUAAGCGGAGGAAAAGAAACCAACAGGGAUUGCCCUAGUAACGGCGAGUGAAGCGGCAACAGCUCAAAUUUGAAAUCUGGCGCAAGCCCGAGUUGUAAUUUGUAGAGGAUGCUUCUGGGCAGCGGCCGGUCUAAGUUCCUUGGAACAGGACGUCAUAGAGGGUGAGAAUCCCGUAUGCGACCGGUUGGCACCCGUCACGUAGCUCCUUCGACGAGUCGAGUUGUUUGGGAAUGCAGCUCUAAAUGGGUGGUAAAUUCCAUCUAAAGCUAAAUACCGGCCAGAGACCGAUAGCGCACAAGUAGAGUGAUCGAAAGAUGAAAAGCACUUUGGAAAGAGAGUUAAAAAGCACGUGAAAUUGUUGAAAGGGAAGCGCAUGCAACCAGACUUGUCGGCGGUGUUCCGCCGGUCUUCUGACCGGUCUACUCGCCGCCGGCAGGCCAGCAUCGUGUGGGUGCGCCGGAUAAAGGCGCCGGGAAUGUGGCCCCUCGGGGUGUUAUAGCCCGGCGUAUAAUACCGCGCCGCCCGCCGCGAGGCCCGCGCUUCGGCUAGGAUGCUGGCGUAAUGGUUGU
rnacentral:rRNA from 1 species